UAGGGAAUCUUCCGCAAUGGACGCAAGUCUGACGGCGCAACGCCGCGUGAGUGAAGAAGGAUUUCGGUUCGUAAAACUCUGUUGUUAGAGAAGAACAGCGCAUAGAGUAACUGUUAUGCGUGUGACGGUAUCUAACCAGAAAGCCACGGCUAACUACGUGCCAGCAGCCGCGGUAAUACGUAGGUGGCAAGCGUUGUCCGGAUUUAUUGGGCGUAAAGCGAGCGCAGGCGGUCAAUUAAGUCUGAUGUGAAAGCCCCCGGCUCAACCGGGGAGGGUCAUUGGAAACUGGUUGACUUGAGUGCAGAAGAGGAGAGUGGAAUUCCAUGUGUAGCGGUGAAAUGCGUAGAUAUAUGGAGGAACACCAGUGGCGAAGGCGACUCUCUGGUCUGUAACUGACGCUGAGGCUCGAAAGCGUGGGUAGCAAACAGG
rnacentral:rRNA from 1 species